AUGGCGGUGAAAGCUAUAUCGCCGCCGAGUUGCCAAAUCCAUCCCUUUUCUUGGUCCAAAAAUCACCCCGGAGAUCCAGUUUGCUUGGAGGGGAGCCGGCCGGAUCUCUCCAUCUGCCCUUGGACUAAUGAGCUCAACAUCGGCUGUGGCGGUCUCUCAGAUUGGGUCGCCGGAGCUCUCGAAUGUGCCAGGCAGGGGUCUCGUUCCUCGUCUCUUGGUGGAAGCCUCGUCGUUUCUGGUGAUGGUAAGGUGGAGGCGGCGCCGCUCCCUUCCCCCGAUGCGUGGGGUGCAGCGGUGCCACGUGCAGCCCUGGAUGGAGGUUCGAUUGUGUUUAGCGGUCUUACCUUACCGAUGGCCCUUCUUGCAAAUUGCGAGGACUUGUGUCAUGUUUACUUCCGUUUGGGUUGUUAG
rnacentral:rRNA from 1 species